GACGAACGCUGGCGGCGUGCCUAAUACAUGCAAGUAGAACGCUGAAGAGAGGAGCUUACUCUUCUUGGAUGAGUUGCGAACGGGUGAGUAACGCGUAGGUAACCUGCCUUGUAGCGGGGGAUAACUAUUGGAAACGAUAGCUAAUACCGCAUAACAAUGGAUGACACAUGUCAUUUAUUUGAAAGGGGCAAUUGCUCCACUACAAGAUGGACCUGCGUUGUAUUAGCUAGUAGGUGAGAUAAUGGCUCACCUAGGCGACGAUACAUAGCCGACCUGAGAGGGUGAUCGGCCACACUGGGACUGAGACACGGCCCAGACUCCUACGGGAGGCAGCAGUAGGGAAUCUUCGGCAAUGGGGGCAACCCUGACCGAGCAACGCCGCGUGAGUGAAGAAGGUUUUCGGAUCGUAAAGCUCUGUUGUAAGUCAAGAACGGGUGUGAGAGUGGAAAGUUCACACUGUGACGGUAGCUUACCAGAAAGGGACGGCUAACUACGUG
rnacentral:rRNA from 1 species